rnacentral:lncRNA from 1 species
UCCCCAGGCGGGGGAGCCCCGACUCCUGGAGGGACCGCGUCCUGCCCGGCCCGGGAAGUUCAGGGCUGGAGAACCCCUUCCCCGACCCCAUUUCUCUUUUAACAAGAGUAGGGUUUGUAGCUAACCAACGUCCUGACAGCUCAGCUCUGCUUUCCCUUUAAGCAUUAAUAUCAAAGCCCUGCCUGCUACCGGUGAAGCCCCGACCCGGGAGGGCCCGAAAGUCCCUUCAGGGAGAGGCCGCACUGGGCCUGCUCACCCAGGGGCUGCCCCUGCAGACUCUCCCGAGGGGCCCAGGGAUAUUCCUCGCGCCGCGAGUGGACGCUUCCAUCCACCCCAUGGGGAGGGCCUCUGCGCGUGGCUACUCUGAGCCCUCUGGAAUGCCGAGAUAGUUGCAUAAUUUCAGAAACCACGGCAUGGAGACGGAAUGAUGCAGACUCCUAUCCGCGAGAUACCUGCUGUAAUUUCGCUGUGGUUCGUGAGGACGCGUCCUGGGCUGCCCUGAGAAGCCUACGUCUCCCCUUCGAGGCCCGGGAAGACCUCCAACCCCGCUGACAAUGCUGGGCCCUCAGCCAGACCUGCCCUGCGUGCCACGUUCUGUUCUAAGAUCGGGCUGCCGAGCUGUGGCCUGGAGGAAACCUGGCAGGUGGGGCUGCCAUGAGCAGCAAGCUCAGUCCAGAAGAACAGUUCCUCUCCAGGAUCCACUUCCUGCGCACUUUUAUGUGCAGUGUAGCUGGAGCAGAGCUCCCCGGAAUUCCACAGGCAACUGAGAACGGAGAGGGAUGCAGGCCAGCCAGGGAUCCAGCGUCUUCCCCAUCGUCACUCUCCAUGGCCUCCGUCUACACACAGUGUUCGUCUGCACAGCUUGUCAGCGCGUUAUCAUGACUUCUAUUUGGCACCGGCCCGUCUGUCCACUGUCCUGGCUUGUUCCAAGCGCUGCCUUCUCCAACUGGGGUCCUGGCUGCAGAGCUGUCUGCUCCCCACGUUGGGCAACUCCAGCCAAGAUUCCUACACCCAAAUGUGACCGUGUUGCUCACGAAGAAGGCUCAGCUUUGCGUGUGCCCAGCCGUGUGCACAGCUCGUCCCAACUCCUGCGGGUGGCACCUGCCUCUCCCACCUCCAGUCUUUCCCCUGUGAUGAGCAGAUGACCACCGCCCUCCAGGGUCAGCGUUUGGCUGUUUGUGUGCCUGCCCACCCGCCUCCCUGUGCCUGGGCCUGCCCUGUGCCUGCACACAGGAGUGGCUCAUGGCGUUUGCCCUACACGGAUGGGCUGUCCUGGGAGCUACUGGACAGUCACCUUGGUGGGAAUGCCAGAGGCAUGGGCAUUAGGUCCCCCCGGCCAGCCUCCGUUGCCACAUGGGCUAUUUUUGUCCAUCGCGUGGGACAACCUAGUAUUGGGGGAAAACUCAGUCCACUCUAAAGAAGCAUCGGCGUUUUGGAUGGACGAAUGCUGCUUCAUGCGACUCCAUGUCAAUGGACUAUUUUAUUCAACUCGGGUAUUUAUGAGUGUCUCCUCUGUGCCAGCCACGUGUGAAAGAAGAACUCCAAGUUACUGGACACCAGGACAAACCAGGUAGAUCACUGCAUCCGGUUCCUCCUCUUUCUGCCGACUCUCCCGGGCAACCGUUCUGAUUCCUGGCAUGGAGUUGGGGGCGAGCUCAUCAGUACCCAGAGCGCCUGGUGUGCAGCCAAAGGCCCCCAUUUUAUUAGUCGGUGUGUUCAGUAUCACGCUCAAGACAAGGGCCAACCUAUUACUUCACACACCUCAAAUACAAAAAGUGCCUGGGAACGUCGAUGAGGUAUUAAAGGAAACCACUGGUCUUGUCAGUCAUGUACACACAGAAAAAAAAACCAGUCAUUUUUAUUUUUAUUUUUUGAGACAGAGUUUCGCUCUUGUUGCCCAGGCUGGAGUGCAAUGGUGCAAUUUCAGCUCACUGCAAUCUCUGCCACCCGGAUUCAAGCAAUUCUCCUGUCUCAGCCUCCCGAGUAGCUGGAAUUGCAGACACCCAUCACCACGCCCAGCUAAUUUUAUGUAUUUUUAGUAGAGAUGGGGUUUCACCAUGUUGGUCAGGCUGGUCUUGAACUCCUGACCUCAGGUGAUCCACCCACGUCAGGCUCCCAAAGUGCUGAGAUUACAGGCAUGAACCACUGUGCCCAGCCGAAAACAACCAAGAAUUUUUUAACAAUAAAAUGACCAGCAAGUAAACUUGAAACAAAAAUGGACAAAUAUCUAAAAUAUUUUUAAAUGUAUGUAUUUUAAUUGGCAAAUAAUACUUGUAUAUAUUGUUUACAACUUGUUUUAAAGUAUGAAUACAUUGUGG